rnacentral:rRNA from 1 species
AGCUCCAAUAGCGUAUAUUAAAGUUGUUGCAGUUAAAAAGCUCGUAGUUGGAUUUCGGAACGGGCCAGUUGGUCCACCGAAAGGUGUGUUACUGACUGGUCUGUUCUUCUUCGCGAAGACUGCGUGUGCUCUUCAUUGAGUGUGUGUAGGAUUUACGACGUUUACUUUGAAAAAAUUAGAGUGUUCAAAGCAGGCUAUCGCUUGAAUACAUGAGCAUGGAAUAAUGGAAUAGGACUUUGGUCCUAUUUUGUUGGUUUCUAGGACCGAAGUAAUGAUUAAGAGGGACAAUUGGGGGCAUCCGUAUUUCGUUGUCAGAGGUGAAAUUCUUGGAUUUACGAAAGACGAACAACUGCGAAAGCACUUGCCAAGAGUGUUUUCAUUA